rnacentral:rRNA from 1 species
AUUGAACGCUGGCGGAAUGCUUUACACAUGCAAGUCGAGCGAUGAAGCACCUUCGGGUGUGAAUUAGCGGCGAACGGGUGAGGAACACGUGAAGAAUCUGCCUUCAACUCUGGGAUAACUCCGGGAAACCGGGGCUAAUACCGGAUAUGAGCCUUGAUCGCAUGAUCGGGGCUGGAAAGUUUUUCGGUUGAAGAUGACUUCGCGGCCUAUCAGCUUGUUGGUGAGGUAAUGGCUCACCAAGGCGACGACGGGUAGCCGGCCUGAGAGGGCGACCGGCCACACUGGGACUGAGACACGGCCCAGACUCCUACGGGAGGCAGCAGUGGGGAAUAUUGGGCAAUGGAGGAAACUCUGACCCAGCGACGCCGCGUGAGGGAUGAAGGCCUUCGGGUUGUAAACCUCUUUCAGUAGGGAAGAAGCGAAAGUGACGGUACCUACAGAAGAAGCACCGGCUAACUAUGUGCCAGCAGCCGCCGUAA